rnacentral:lncRNA from 1 species
CGGAAGGGAAUUUUGUUUUGCCAGUCCUCCUGUUGUCGUUUUCGGGAGGUUCCCAAAUAGGGAAGCUCAUCGCAGGUGACUGCUAUUUUCUUAUGCAUCCCUUUUCUAUGAGGUGGAUCUCGGUUUGUUGAUAGGAAUUCAGGGUGAAAAGGUUUGUCGUGGAAGAGAUGAAAAGAGUACUUAUUUUUCACCUCUCUUUUUUCAGGCAAGGUGCACGAUGUUUUAUCCUCUAAGUAUUUAGCUUAACGGAACUGAAGCAACGUAACAAGGACAACCUCUACCGGCCACUAAUUCUCCGGAGCUAUGUUUAGUUUUAGUUUUUCUUCACAUCCAACACUUAAAAGCGUCUGACCUCUGAAUGUUCGUUAUGCUCUGUUAUUAACCUUUCUUUCGCAAUUUUGUCUUAAAAGCUAAUUAUUAAAUAUCAUAUAUAAUUUAAAACAAAUAGAGUAUAUGCAAAUUUAUCUGGUUGCUUCUAUUCAUUGGCAAUAAUGUACUUUAACAAAUAUAUGCUAGUAAGCAACGCAAUGAAUAUAAUUUCAAAUAUAUGAUAGUCAUACUCUCAUAUAUUUUUCUCUCAUGUUAAGUUAUGAUUACAAUAUUUUUGCAAGAAAAAAAAAGCAAAUACGGAGAUACCUCUUGAGUUGCGAGACCUAUCCAACCUUACCAAAGGAGAGAAAACCUUCACUAAAAUCCAUUACUCAUAGUCAUAGCAUCAUCAUGCACGCAAGCACGUUGGAUCUGUCAUCCAUAGGGUGAACACCAAACCUUAGACCUCGUUUGGUUCUUUAGGAGCUCCUAAAAUUCCUGUCACAUCGAAAUGUUUAGAUACUAAUUAGAAAGUAUUAAACAUAGACUAAUUACAAAACCAAUUGCACAGAUGGAGGCUAAUUUGCGAGACGAAUCUAUUAAGCAUAAUUAGUCCAUGAUUUGACAAUGUGGUGUUACAGUAAACAUGUGCUAAUGAUGGACUAAUUAUGUUUAAUAGAUCCGUCUCGGGAAUUAGUCUCCAUCUUGUAAUUAUAAUUAGCUCAUAUUUAAUCCUCUAAUUAGCCUCCGAAUAUUCGAGGUGACAUGAAUUUUAUUCCGAACUAAAGAUCCAAACACCCCGUUACCACUCCCAAGAUCAACAUGCAUUGCAUGUAGUCGUGCCUUCCAUAGUUCCAUGCCGCAUCCUCUGCAUCAAGCCAGCCCAAACAAACCGCCCC